CAGCCGCCGCGGUAAUACAGAGGGUGCAAGCGUUAAUCGGAAUUACUGGGCGUAAAGCGCGCGUAGGUGGUUCGCCAAGUUGGAUGUGAAAUCCCCGGGCUCAACCUGGGAACUGCAUCCAAAACUGGCGAGCUAGAGUAUGGUAGAGGGUGGUGGAAUUUCCUGUGUAGCGGUGAAAUGCGUAGAUAUAGGAAGGAACACCAGUGGCGAAGGCGACCACCUGGACUGAUACUGACACUGAGGUGCGAAAGCGUGGGGAGCAAACAGGAUUAGAUACCCCGGUAGUCCCUGUCUCUUAUAC
rnacentral:rRNA from 1 species